rnacentral:sRNA from 1 species
AACUAUACAGGUAGUCCAAAUAAGGACUUUAUCUUUACCAGGGGAUAUGAUUUUAAAAAGGCCGCUUAAUAAUAAGCGGCCUGUAUUAGUGUU